rnacentral:rRNA from 1 species
GCAGCAACGCCGCGUGAGGGACGACGGCCUUCGGGUUGUAAACCUCUUUUAGCAAGGAAGAAGCGAAAGUGACGGUACUUGCAGAAAAAGCGCCGGCUAACUACGUGCCAGCAGCCGCGGUAAUACGUAGGGCGCAAGCGUUAUCCGGAAUUAUUGGGCGUAAAGAGCUCGUAGGCGGUUUGUCGCGUCUGCUGUGAAAACUGGGGGCUCAACCCCCAGCCUGCAGUGGGUACGGGCAGACUAGAGUGCGGUAGGGGAGAUUGGAAUUCCUGGUGUAGCGGUGGAAUGCGCAGAUAUCAGGAGGAACACCGAUGGCGAAGGCAGAUCUCUGGGCCGUAACUGACGCUGAGGAGCGAAAGGGUGGGGAGCAAACAGGCUUAGAUACCCUGGUAGUCCACCCCGUAAACGUUGGGAACUAGUUGUGGGGUCCAUUCCACGGAUUCCGUGACGCAGCUAACGCAUUAAGUUCCCCGCCUGGGGAGUACGGCCGCAAGGCUAAAACUCAAAGGAAUUGACGGGGACCCGCACAAGCGGCGGAGCAUGCGGAUUAAUUCGAUGCAACGCGAAGAACCUUACCAAGGCUUGACAUACACGAGAACGCUGCAGAAAUGUAGAACUCUUUG